rnacentral:rRNA from 1 species
CCUACGGGCGGCAGCAGUGAGGAAUAUUGGUCAAUGGACGAGAGUCUGAACCAGCCAAGUAGCGUGAAGGAUGACUGCCCUAUGGGUUGUAAACUUCUUUUAUAUGGGAAUAAAACAGGGUAUGCAUACCCUCUUGUAUGUACCAUAUGAAUAAGGAUCGGCUAACUCCGUGCCAGCAGCCGCGGUAAUACGGAGGAUCCGAGCGUUAACCGGAUUUAUUGGGUUUAAAGGGAGCGUAGGUGGAUUGUUAAGUCAGUUGUGAAAGUUUGCGGCUCAACCGUAAAAUUGCAGUUGAAACUGGCAGUCGUGAGUACAGUAGAGGUGGGCGGAAUUCGUGGUGUAGCGGUGAAAUGCUUAGAUAUCACGAAGAACUCCGAUUGCGAAGGCAGCUCACUGGACUGCAACUGACACUGAGGCUCGAAAGUGUGGGUAUCAAACAGGAUUAGAUACCCAAGUAGUC